AUACAGAGGGUGCAAGCGUUAAUCGGAUUUACUGGGCGUAAAGCGCGCGUAGGUGGCUAAUUAAGUCAAAUGUGAAAUCCCCGAGCUUAACUUGGGAAUUGCAUUCGAUACUGGUUAGCUAGAGUAUGGGAGAGGAUGGUAGAAUUCCAGGUGUAGCGGUGAAAUGCGUAGAGAUCUGGAGGAAUACCGAUGGCGAAGGCAGCAAUCUGGCCUAAUGCUGACACUGAGGUGCGAAAGCAUGGGGAGCAAACAGGAUUAUAUCCCCUGGUAGCCCAGGCCGUAAACGAUGUCUACUAGCCGUUGGGGCCCUUGAGGCUUUAGUGGCGCAGCUAACGCGAUAAGUAGACCGCCUGGGGAGUACGGUCGCAAGACUGAAACUUAAAGGAAUUGACGGGG
rnacentral:rRNA from 1 species